rnacentral:rRNA from 1 species
UACGAAGGGGGCUAGCGUUGUUCGGAAUCACUGGGCGUAAAGGGCGCGUAGGCGGCUUUAUAAGUCGGGGGUGAAAGCCUGUGGCUCAACCACAGAAUUGCCUUCGAUACUGUAGAGCUUGAGACCGGAAGAGGUAAGUGGAACUGCGAGUGUAGAGGUGAAAUUCGUAGAUAUUCGCAAGAACACCAGUGGCGAAGGCGGCUUACUGGUCCGGUUCUGACGCUGAGGCGCGAAAGCUGUGGGGAGCAAACAGG